rnacentral:rRNA from 1 species
UCCUACGGGGCGCAGCAGUAGGGAAUUUUCGUCAAUGGGCGCAAGCCUGAACGAGCAAUGCCGCGUGAACGAGGAAGGUCUUCGGAUCGUAAAGUUCUGUUGCAGGGGAAAAAGAGCGGAGAGAGGAAAUGAACUCCGAUUGAUAUUACCCUUCGAGGAAGUCACGGCUAACUACGUGCCAGCAGCCGCGGUAAUACGUAGGUGGCGAGCGUUAUCCGGAAUGAUUGGGCGUAAAGGGUGCGUAGGCGGCCUGCUAAGUCUGGAGUGAAAGCUACCGGCUCAACCGGGGCAG